UACAGAGGUCCCAAGCGUUGUUCGGAUUCACUGGGCGUAAAGGGUGCGUAGGUGGUGAAGUAAGUCGGAUGUGAAAUCCCUCGGCUUAACCGAGGAACUGCCGUCCAAACUGCUUCGCUUGAGACCGGGAGAGGUGAGUGGAAUUCCCAGUGUAGCGGUGAAAUGCGUAGAUAUUGGGAGGAACACCAGUGGCGAAGGCGGCUCACUGGACCGGUACUGACGCUGAUGCGCGAAAGCGUGGGGAGCAAACGGG
rnacentral:rRNA from 1 species